rnacentral:rRNA from 1 species
CUCAUUAUAUCAGUUAUGGUUCCUUAGAUCGUAUCCACAAUUACUUGGAUAACUGUGGUAAUUCUAGAGCUAAUACAUGCAAUUAAAGAGAAACCAGUAAAUGGGUUCUCUGCUUUUAUUAGAUUUAAACCAAUGGGGAUUGCUUCGCGGCAUUCUCAAUACAAAUGGUUGAACUCUGGAUAAUUUGUUGAUCGCAAGGUCUUGUACCGGCGACGGAUCUUUCAAAUGUCUGCCCUAUCAACUAUUGAAGGUAGUGUCUUGGACUACCUUGGUUGCAACGGGUAACGGGGAAUCAGGGUUCGAUUCCGGAGAGGGAGCCUGAGAAACGGCUACCACAUCUAAGGAAGGCAGCAGGCGCGUAAAUUACCCACUCCCAGCACGGGGAGGUAGUGACGAAAAAUAACAAUACAAGACUCACAUCCGAGGCCUUGUAAUUGGAAUGAGUACACUUUAAAUCCUUUAACAAGGAUCAAUUGGAGGGCAAGUCUGGUGCCAGCAGCCGCGGUAAUUCCAGCUCCAAUAGCGUAUAUUAAAGUUGUUGCGGUUAAAACGUUCGUAGUUGAACUUGUGUUCCGCACGGGCAGUACCUAAGACUAGGAAACUGGGACGGUAUUUUGUCUUAUAUUAUCUAUCCAUUCUAUGGUGUGAUAGUAGUGCGUGGACGUAUUAUCGGCGUGUUUGCUCUCGAGCAUUCAUAAGCUUAUUUCAGUGCUCUUUACCGAGUGUUGUUGUAAGCCGGUACAAAUUACUUUGAACAAAUUAGAGUGCUUAAAGCAGGCUUUAAUGCCUGAAUAUUUUGUGCAUGGAAUAAUGAAAUAGGACAUCUGUUCUACUUUCAUUGGUUUUUUAGACCAAGAUGUAAUGAUUAAUGGAAGCAGUUGGGGGCAUUAGUAUUACAACGCGAGAGGUGAAAUUCUUAGACCGUUGUAAGACUGACUAAAGCGAAAGCAUUUGCCAAAGAUGUUUUCAUUUAAUCAAGAACGAAAGUUAGAGGUUCGAAGGCGAUC